ensembl:lncRNA
GUGCUUUACAAUGUUAGUACGGCAAAAUGAAUCAGCCAUCUGUGUCCAUAUAUCCCCUCUCUUUUGAACUUGCUUCGCAUUCAGAUCAUCCCAGUGCAUUAAGGUAGAGUUCCCUGUGCUAUAGAGUAUGUUCCCAUUAGUUACCUAUUUUACGCUUAGUAUGAAUAGUGUAAUCGCAAUCCCCCAAUUCAAACAAACUUUCUUUUAUUUAUUCAUCCAUCCUCACAUCCUUCCGUCCAGUUAAAUAUUUAUUAGGCCUGGUUCCUAAGCUGGCAACGUAUCAGCAAAGACAGUUCUUGCCCUUUGAAAGUUGAUAUUCAGUUGAGAGAGGAAAUGGGUAAGUGAAUGGAUACUUCAGAUAGUGACAAGUCCUGUAAAUGAGAUACAGUAGAAGAGGGGAGAGACUAAAGAGGACUGGAGGUGCUAUUUUAGCUAGGAAGGCAGGGGAGGCCUCUGCGGGGGGUGACUUCGAGAGGGACUGAAGGGUGAGUGUCACCCACUCACCGCACAUUUGGGAGACAGGCCUUCUAGGCUGAGGCAGCAGCAGGCAGGCAGGUGCGACAGAAGCAGAGGAAAAGCCUGAGACAGCCCUGAGAAUGCGCUGACAUCCGUAGUAUGGAUACAAGAUUCUGCACCGCGGCUGGCAGCGAGGUGGGGACAGCACCAGAGCAGCUGCGUACCAGAUUGCUCAGCUGAAUACCCUUAUAAACAUGCUGUUGGGUGAUUCACCCCAGGCGAUCAUCAGGAGAUCAUGACAAUGUGCACAGUUGAUGGACACAUGAAGGAUGUGGCAGUCGAGCUUGGAGCAGAGAAGGCAUGAUCAAGAACCCUUAGGGAUUUUGAUAUUCCCUCAGAUAAGAACAAACAGUGUCUCCGGCUUUCUGGACUUUAUCUGGGACUUAUUUCUUUCGGUGCAAGUUCCACGAAAAGAGCACCGUGAACUCGGAGCAGAUGGUGCAUCCGUCCAUUGCUGAGCUCCACUUGCAGCCUGAGGAAAACUUUAUACCGAAGGUGGAAAUAAUGGCUUUCUGCUCAGUUUGUUGUAAAUUCUAAAUGGGGUGAUGGAAGCCUGUAAUGAUCACUGUUGUUCAACGCCUCUGGGCUCCAACAUCUGGCAAAUGCCUUUACUAGCUGACAGCUGUUAGCCUUGGUAUCACAGUGUGCUGCCCAGAGCUUUUGUUCUAAGUAGGCUGGGAAUCGGGCUUGAAGCAAGUAUCAACUAGUUCGUGUAUCAAGAUGUUAAAGAGAGAGAAAACAAUUUUAUUUUCAGGAUUAAUUUCACUAUGGUACAUUUAGUAAAAACAGAGCCUUUUGCAUAUUGUUAUGGAAAUGCUGCAGGCUCUUACCCUCAAAACCCAAGAUUUUUAUUACAUUUUUAGCACAAGAGUGUAAAUUAAUAUUCUAAGCCAUUUAGCCUCUGUCAGAGAUAAAUCCAAAUUGCUAACAAGCACAAGAUAAAUUUAGGAAAAUUGGCUUAUGUCCUGAGAUCAGGUUUGAAGAUGAAUCCGUAGAACUUAUACAACAGAAAAUAAAACAGUUCGCAUUUUGGAGAUAACA